CCAACUCUUGGCGCUCCAAGUCUUCACGUGAAGAAUUUAUUCUCCGUGACUUUAUGUGGUGCAGAAGAGUCUUCACAUAGAAGGACGUCUCCUCUUCUAUGCCCCAUAAAUCCAUCAUAAAAAAUCAACAUGUAAUAAUUAGAAAUCUAGAGGAAAUCGAGGAGAUGGAUAAGAGUCUUCAUGAAGAAGGACUCUUCCACUUCUCAAUGUAAUUAAUGGUGGGCGACAUUUAUUUUUAGGCAUGGAACCUAGUGGGCAUAGAGGACUCC
rnacentral:lncRNA from 1 species